AUGUAGAGAACACCAAAAAUGCUCUCAACAACACCCAAAACACAACCGGCAACCAAGACCGCCGCGGGCCGCCGCCGUCGCCGCCCCGCUGCCGCCGUCGCCGCCCCGUCUCCGCCAUCGCCUGUUGCCGCCGGCCUGCCACCGCUGUUUGCCGCAGUCGGCCACCGCUUGGCGCCGUUCGCCGCGUUACGUUGGUUCGUUUACUAGCACUCGUUCGUUGAACCUCGGUGUCUCGACCGGUUAGUCAUUAACCGAGGAGAGCAGCAAAGGCAAAUCAGAGUCAACAAAGGUAUUCCAUUAAUCUACAAUCAACUCCUUAACUGGCUGGUUCGAUCCCCAUUAACUGCAAGUGAGGUGGUAAGGUUUACCCAUCUUGGUGGGGUUUUUGACCGGGGUCACGGGUUCGAGCAUGGCAGUCGAGAUUAAAUUUCCAAGAGGUGCGAGGAAGGGCUCUGCACUGCACUCCCCCUCAUUCGAACCCGGGUGGCUGUGCUUCCGAUAAAAAGGGUUGAAGCGCAGUCGGUAGUGAGUUUCCAAUCGAUCUACACCUUUCAAAAAAAAAAAAAAAAAA